UACAGAGGUCCCAAGCGUUGUUCGGAUUCAUUGGGCGUAAAGGGUGCGUAGGUGGCGUCGUAAGUCGGGUGUGAAAUCUCGGGCUUAACUCCGAAACUGCAUUCGAUACUGCGGUGCUUGAGGACUGGAGAGGAGACUGGAAUUUGACGGUGUAGCAGUGAAAUGCGUAGAGAUCGAUAAGGAAGACCAGUGGCGAAGGCGGGAUCGUCUGGAA
rnacentral:rRNA from 1 species